rnacentral:rRNA from 1 species
UACGGGGGGGAGCAAGCGUUGUUCGGAUUUACUGGGCGUAAAGGGCGCGUAGGCGGUCAGCACAAGUCAGUUGUGAAAUCUCCGGGCUUAACUCGGAAAGGUCAACUGAUACUGUGCGACUAGAGUGCAGAAGGGGCAACUGGAAUUCUCGGUGUAGCGGUGAAAUGCGCAGAUAUCAGGAGGAACACCGAUGGCGAAGGCAGGUCUCUGGGCAUUAACUGACGCUGAGGAGCGAAAGCAUGGGGAGCGAACAGG